UACAGAGGUCCCAAGCGUUGUUCGGAUUCACUGGGCGUAAAGGGUGCGUAGGCGGUCGGGUAAGUCUGAUGUGAAAUCUCACAGCUUAACUGUGAAACUGCAUUGGAUACUAUCCGGCUCGAGGAAUGGAGGGGAGACUGGAAUACUUGGUGUAGCAGUGAAAUGCGUAGAUAUCGGAAGGAACACCGGUGGCGAAAGCGGCGCGCUGGAUCCCUACUGACGCUGAGGCACGAAAGCCAGGGGAGCAAACGGG
rnacentral:rRNA from 1 species